rnacentral:lncRNA from 1 species
AAAUGUUUCUCCUCUCCAAUUCAUUCUCUCUCCUUUGUCAUUACAGUUGGCUUAUGACUUUUUGGAAAGAUAAAUAGAUAUAUAUCAAAUAAGAGAGAGAAAAUGAUAUCUAUCUUUAAUUAACUCCCCUAUUACGUUAGAACCAGUAGAGCCACAAAACUCAUUCUCUCUCUAAGCCCCGUUCCUCUCUUCUUUCUCUCUCUCACCAGUCAUCAUUCUCUCUUCUCUCGUUUCUCACGGUAAUCUGAGGGCGGGGACGAUGAAGAAGUUGCUCCGACCACCUCUGUUGGAAUCGGAGUCUGUUGAUGCGGUGUAGAUCGACGACAAGAGAGGUGAGAGAGAUCUGUUGUGGAUUUGUUAUGUGGGUGGUGGCGUGUGCGCGACAGCGGCAUGUACGUGCGUGGGUGGUGGAUAACGGCGGUAUGUAUGUGCGUGGGUACGACACUGCUACGGCCAAAAGCAACACCUUCUGCAAAUCGACUGUGUGUAUGUGUGCGCGGUGGAGGUGCAUGGUUGUGCAAUGUUUUGGUGCGGUGGUAUGGAAUGAUUUGAUAUGUGGUUUGGUUGUGGAAUGGUUUGGUGUGGUGGUUGCGAAAUGAUUUGGGGGCGGUGCUGAAAAUUGUGACUGUGACUCUCAAUUGAAUAUGUGACUUAAAAAUUGUAUCUGUAACUUUCAAUUGUGACUCACAAAUAAUUAAGUUGUGAUCGAAAAAUUAAUCGUGACAAAUUAAUUCAAUAAGUUGCAAUGGAUAAAUGAGUUGUGACCAAUAAAAAUUUUAUAUAUGUGAUCGAUGAAUAAUUUGUGGCCUAAAAUAUUUUGAAUUCGUGACAAAAAAUAUUCUGUGACUUAAUAAACUCGUGACCACAAAUUUGUUAAUUUGUGGCUAUUUAAUAAAUUGUGACUUAUAAUAUUUGUAAUCUGUUAUUUAUAAAAAAAAUUUGAUUUGUGAUCAAUGAACAAACUGUGACAUAUUAAAU